rnacentral:misc_RNA from 1 species
GGAAGUAAAUGUCGUAACAAGGUUUCCGUAGGUGAACCUGCGGAAGGAUCAUUAUUGGAUUUUGAAACUUCAGGCUGCUGCUGGCUCUCCUCGGAGGGCAUGUGCACGCUUGUUGUCCAUUAUUUCUCCCACUGUGCACAAAUUGUAGACCUUUCAGUAGGCCUAUGUUGUUUUUCACAAUCUCUGAAUGUAAUAGAAUGGUUUUGAAUCUUGGGAAAUACAAUACAACUUUCAGCAACGGAUCUCUUGGCUCUC